AUGUGUAGGAUAGGUGGGAGGCUUUGAAGCGUGGACGCCAGUCUGCGUGGAGCCAACCUUGAAAUACCACCCUUUAAUGGCUGGUGUUCUAACGUAGACCCGUUACCCGGGUUGCGGACAGUGUCUGGUGGGUAGUUUGACUGGGGCGGUCUCCUCCCAAAGAGUAACGGAGGAGCACGAAGGUUGGCUAAUCCUGGUCGGACAUCAGGAGGUUAGUGCAAUGGCAUAAGCCAGCUUGACUGCGAGCGUGACGGCGCGAGCAGGUGCGAAAGCAGGUCAUAGUGAUCCGGUGGUUCUGAAUGGAAGGGCCAUCGCUCAACGGAUAAAAGGUACUCCGGGGAUAACAGGCUGAUACCGCCCAAGAGUUCAUAUCGACGGCGGUGUUUGGCACCUCGAUGUCGGCUCAUCACAUCCUGGGGCUGAAGUAGGUCCCAAGGGUAUGGCUGUUCGCCAUUUAAAGUGGUACGCGAGCUGGGUUUAGAACGUCGUGAGACAGUUCGGUCCCUAUCUGCCGUGGGCGCUGGAGAAUUGAGGGGGGCUGCUCCUAGUACGAGAGGACCGGAGUGGACGCAUCACUGGUGUUCGGGUUGUCAUGCCAAUGGCACUGCCCGGUAGCUAAAUGCGGAAGAGAUAAGUGCUGAAAGCAUCUAAGCACGAAACUUGCCCCGAGAUGAGUUCUCCCUGAGAC
rnacentral:rRNA from 1 species